GGCGGUUUCACAGCUCGUUCUCCUGGCACAUCUGCACCCGGGGGAGGGGGGAGGGAGGGAUGGGGGCUGUGUU
rnacentral:miRNA from 12 species